GCAGAGCCAGCCAGAGGCAAGGAUUUUGUUAGCGUUUGGAGGAGAAAACAGGGAAUUUCCACAUAUGGAAAAAUGUUCCUUUAAACUGUGAUUAUGUAAAAAUACAAAGCCACAACUGAUAAUAUCUCUCACUCUGGGGAAUGAUGGAGAGUGUUUGUUUCUUUAAUUGCAUUUAAUACUCAUGAAAGUUACCAGCUUGCCACUACUGCAAGCGAAGCUCGUUAGUUGGAUUGCAGCACACACAACACCAGCUUCCUUUCCACGCUUCUUCAGUAGUGCAUUUUGCCCUCGUUAUUAAAAGACAGCUCCUAAUUUAAUAUCUGUGCAUAUUUGAUUGCUGGUGCUUUGCCUGAAAAUUGCCUGUAGAGGUGCAAACUAAAAUUAGGUGUAUGAUGAGUUUCUAAAUGAGGACCUUUAUUAGUCAAAGGUGGGCUGACUUCUGUUAGGCAGGAGCAGAGCCAUGAGCCAGGCUCCUACUCCUGCCCCAGGUGAGCACCCUGGGUCUUAGGUGUCUGCAGAUGUUCUUGUUAUCCCUCUGAACAGUCCUCAUUCUCUUGGAUUUUACCCAUUUUUUUUCAUCUCAAAUAUAGGAAUUUAACCAGGGACUGGGUGGAAAAGUAUUUCCAUUGGUUUUGGAUGUGCUACCCUGGGAUUUUCCUUUGAUUCCCAUUCAGAAGCUCCCUUCCCUUGGUAUGCUUUCAUCCCAUGCUCUCCUGUGUUCCUCCUCUCUAAGGUAAACGGAUUGGGCUGGUGUAUAAAGGGGUGCAGAGGAAACUGACAGUGCGGGCAGGAUCCUGUGAGAGCUGAUGUGGGCUGUGCUCCUGUUGCUGCUUUAAUUCAUCAUCACUGGAGCAUGUAAAACCAGGACAGUUGCUGGAGCUGCAGCGCAUGAAUCACCCUUUGAGAGAAACGUGCCCCUGCGUGCUCCGACAAGCCCUCCUUUUCAAAGUGCCGUUGUCAAACCUGGCUUGCUGAGAGCGUGGAUCCAAAAACCUCUCACUGCAAAGGCACAAGGUUUCGCCCUGUUACUUCUGCUUCCUACCCAAGAGAGGAGCCAGGCUUUCUCCAGAAACUGUCUCCAGAACAUCCUUUAUGGGACAUGCUGAUAGCAAGAUAGGAAGCCACUCCACCCAGUGCUGCUCUUCCAGCUGAGCAUCCAUCACAGACAUGUACCUAAUCCCCUGCAUCUUUAUUAGCCAUUUCAUGACUGGUGUAAUGGA
rnacentral:lncRNA from 1 species